UUGAGAGAGAGAGAGAGAGAGAGAGAGAAAGAGAGAGAUAAGCUUAGGAGAGAGAAAAGAAGAAGAAGAAGAAGAAGAAAGAGGAGGAAGAAGAAAAGAGUGAAAGUCUUCAUUCUUAGAGAGAGAGAAAGAGAGAGAGAGAGGAAAACAAGAGAGAGAAAGCUUCUCUAAGCUCUCUCUCUGUUUCUGAGUUUCUGUUUUUUUGUUCUCUGAACCAACCCUUCUAUGUUUGUUCUUGUUUUGUUUUCAAGAUCUAGUGGUUUUUUCUGCUCAUACUGAUAAAAACGGAGGUGGUAGUGAUGUCGUCCCUCAGUAGGGAGCUGGUGUUCUUGAUCUUACAGUUUCUCGAUGAGGAAAAAUUUAAGGAGACAGUUCACAAGCUUGAGCAGGAAUCUGGGUUUUUCUUCAAUAUGAAAUAUUUUGAGGAUGAGGUGCAUAAUGGGAACUGGGAUGAAGUUGAGAAAUACCUCUCUGGGUUUACAAAAGUAGAUGAUAAUCGAUAUUCAAUGAAAAUAUUUUUUGAGAUUAGGAAGCAGAAGUAUCUCGAGGCAUUGGACAAGCAUGACCGCUCCAAGGCGGUAGAUAUUUUAGUAAAGGACUUAAAGGUUUUUUCCACGUUUAAUGAAGAACUUUUCAAGGAGAUUACUCAGCUAUUGACGCUUGAGAAUUUUAGGGAAAAUGAACAACUGUCUAAGUAUGGUGAUACGAAGUCUGCACGAGCAAUUAUGUUGGUUGAGUUGAAGAAGCUAAUUGAAGCCAAUCCUUUAUUCCGUGAUAAAUUGCAGUUUCCUCACCUUAAAAACUCAAGAUUGCGUACUCUUAUUAAUCAAAGCUUAAAUUGGCAGCAUCAACUUUGUAAAAACCCUAGACCAAAUCCAGAUAUUAAAACCCUCUUUGUGGAUCAUUCUUGUGGACAACCAAAUGGUGCUCGGGCUCCUUCUCCUGCAAACAAUCCACUUCUUGGUUCCUUACCCAAACCUGGAGGUUUUCCUCCUCUUGGUGCUCAUGGGCCUUUUCAGCCCACGGCAGCACCUGUUCCAGCACCUCUUGCUGGUUGGAUGUCUAAUCCCUCGGCUGUUACUCAUCCUGCAGUUUCUGGUGGAGGUGCCAUUGGUCUUGGUGCUCCAUCUAUCCCGGCUGCUUUGAAACAUCCGCGGACCCCUCCAACUAACCCUUCUGUAGAAUACCCUUCUGCGGACUCUGAUCACGUUUCUAAAAGGCCAAAACCUAUGGGGAUGUCUGAUGAGGUAAAUCUACCAGUCAAUGUUCUGCCAGUAUCAUUUGCUGGUCAUGGUCAUGCCCAAACUUUUAAUGCACCAGAUGAUUUGCCGAAGACUGUUAUGAGAACACUGAAUCAAGGAUCAUCUCCAAAGAGCAUGGAUUUCCAUCCGAUCCAACAAACUCUGCUUCUUGUUGGCACAAUUGUGGGCGAAAUAGGGUUGUGGGAAGUUGGAUCUAGGGAGAGACUUGUUUCAAAGAAUUUUAAAGUCUGGGAUCUCAAUGCAUGUUCAAUGCCUUUACAGGCAGCUCUAGUUAAAGAGCCUGAUGUAUCGGUAAACCGUGUUAUUUGGAGCCCUGAUGGUUCUUUAUUUGGUGUUGCCUAUUCGAGGCACAUUGUUCAAAUAUACUCCUAUCAUGGUGGUGAUGACAUGCGACAGCACCUGGAGAUUGAUGCUCAUGUCGGUGGAGUUAAUGAUCUAGCAUUCUCCAAUCCCAAUAAACAACUUUGUGUCAUAACGUGUGGUGAUGACAAGACCAUUAAAGUCUGGGAUGCUGGCAAUGGUGCAAGACAAUAUACAUUUGAAGGCCACGAGGCUCCUGUUUUUUCUGUUUGCCCUCACUACAAGGAAAAUAUUCAGUUCAUCUUCUCAACAGCACUCGAUGGAAAGAUAAAGGCAUGGCUAUAUGAUAAUAUGGGCUCACGAGUUGAUUAUGAUGCUCCUGGACGUUGGUGCACAACCAUGGCUUACAGUGCAGAUGGUACGAGGCUCUUCUCAUGUGGGACAAGUAAAGAUGGAGAUUCUUAUAUUGUUGAGUGGAAUGAGAGCGAAGGAGCUGUUAAGAGAACUUAUCAAGGGUUCCGCAAACGAUCUCCAGGUGUUGUACAAUUUGAUACGACUAAAAAUCGGUUUUUGGCUGCUGGUGAUGAUUUCUCCAUCAAAUUUUGGGAUAUGGACAAUGUUCAACUUCUAACAACCGUUGAUGCUGAUGGGGGGCUCCCAGCAAGUCCUCGCAUCCGCUUUAACAAGGAUGGUACACUUCUAGCUGUUUCUGGCAAUGAUAAUGGAAUUAAAAUCUUGGCCAAUGUGGAUGGAAUCCGGCUGUUAAGAACAUUUGAAAAUCUUUCAUAUGACGCAGCUAGAACAUCAGAGGCUGGGACAAAGCCCACAAUAAAUCCAAUUUCAGCUGCUGCAGCCGUGGCAGCAGCAGCAGCGGCUGGUAGUGCCGCUGAUAGAGGUGCCUCUGUUGUCACCAUGUCUGGAGUGGCUGGGGAUUCCCGAAGUUUGGGCGAUGUGAAACCUAGAAUUCCUGAAGAUUCCAAUGACAAGUCAAAGAUUUGGAAGCUCACCGAAAUUAACGAACCAUCUCAAUGUAGAUCCUUGAGGCUGCCUGAGAAUGUAAGAGUAAACAAGAUAUCUAGGUUGAUUUACACAAAUUCUGGAAGUGCAAUCUUGGCUUUGGCAUCAAAUGCAAUUCAUCUGCUAUGGAAAUGGACGCGAAGUGAACGUAAUUCAACUGGAAAGGCAACUGCAAAUGUUUUGCCGCAAUUGUGGCAACCAUCGAGUGGCAUUCUAAUGACCAAUGAUGUUGCUGACACUAGUUCUGAGGAGGCUGUGCCCUGCUUUGCUUUAUCCAAAAACGAUUCUUACGUCAUGUCAGCUUCUGGUGGAAAGAUUUCCCUCUUUAAUAUGAUGACAUUUAAGACGAUGACAACUUUUAUGCCACCACCUCCUGCUGCCACAUUCCUUGCCUUUCACCCACAAGAUAACAAUAUAAUUGCCAUUGGGAUGGAUGACUCCACAAUUCAAAUUUAUAAUGUCCGCGUGGAUGAGGUAAAGAGCAAGCUUAAAGGCCACUCUAAAAGAAUAACUGGCUUGGCCUUCUCUCACUUACUGAACGUGCUAGUUUCAUCUGGAGCUGAUGCACAGCUUUGCGUGUGGAGCUCUGAUGUGUGGGAGAAGCAGAAAACAAGAUUCUUGCAACUUCCAAGUGGGAGACCACCAUCCUCACAAUCCGAUACUCGAGUACAGUUUCAUCAGGACCAGGUUCACUUUCUGGUCGUGCACGAGACGCAGAUUGCAAUAUACGAGACUACAAAACUUGAGUGUGUAAAGCAGUGGACGCCACGGGAAUCUGGUGCACCAAUCUCUCAUGCAACAUUCUCUUGCGACAGUCAAAUGAUAUAUGCCAGCUUUUUGGAUGCAACUGUCUGUGUGUUUACCGUCGCUAGUCUCAGAUUACGUUGUCGAAUUAGUCCUUCGGCUUAUCUUCCUGCUAGUGUGAGCAAUGCUUCUGUACAACCACUAGUCAUUGCAGCACAUCCCCAAGAAGCAAACCAAUUUGCUCUAGGGCUAUCAGAUGGUGGGGUUCAUGUCUUCGAACCACUCGAAUCAGAAGGAAAAUGGGGUGUGCCUCCACCUGUCGAAAAUGGAUCAGCAUCAAGUGUGCCGACGACUCCAUCAGUCGGAGCUUCAGGUUCAGAUCAAGCCCCGAGAUGAUCGAGCAGCUAGCACGAGUACUUUUACAUGCUUGAUUGCUGGCUCUCCAACUUUAGGUUGCUUAUCUGCUCAAAUCAAUCAGGACUUUAUUCCAACGCAACGCUGAGAUGUUUGAGACAUAACAUCAUGAAGGAAAAGGGAAAUUCAUUACAAAGUUGGGAGGACAAUUUGUUAAGAACCGAGCUCUGUCGUUAGUAAUCAAUAUGUAGAUAAGAAAGGAGGUUAUGAGGAGACUCGUCUUUACAUUCAAGUUGAAGUAGGUUAUCAUUUUUGGGGUUGGUAUGAUCUAGAACGAGUAUGAAACAUCGUGAUCUAACACAAUGGAAAAAACUCAUGUUUGAAUUGACAAGUCACUAUCUUUUGUCUCAUUGCACUUAUAUAUAGGUGUUAGAAAAUUAUAUAAUCUUUUCAGGUGUUAGAUUUGUACCUUGAAGAUUCGUAAUUGAUGAAUUAUUUAAUAAUUAUUUUAUAUGUAAUAUUAUAUUA